UACGGAGGGGGCUAGCGUUGUUCGGAAUUACUGGGCGUAAAGGGCGCGCAGGCGGCUGCUCAAGUCAGGCGUGAAAGGCCUGGGCUCAACCCGGGAAUUGCGCUUGAGACUGGGCUGGCUUGAGUGCGGGAGAGGAUGGUGGAAUUCCCAGUGUAGAGGUGAAAUUCGUAGAUAUUGGGAAGAACACCGGUGGCGAAGGCGGCCAUCUGGACCGCAACUGACGCUGAGGCGCGAAAGCGUGGGUAGCAAACAGG
rnacentral:rRNA from 1 species